rnacentral:tRNA from 1 species
GUUAGAGUGGCAGAGCCCGGACAUUGCAAAAGGCCUAAGCCCUUUCUACAGAGGUUCAAGCCCUCUCUCUAACU